AUGUGUGCUACGAAGAAAGAAGGAGGCUUGGGGUUUAGAGACGCCGAGGCUUUCAACCAGGCGCUCUUGGCCAAGCAGGCAUGGAGAAUCUUGAGGGUUCCCUCCUCGCUAUGUGCACGUGUAUUGAAAGCAAGAUAUUUCAGCGAUGGGGGGAUUAUGAAUGCAACUUGCCCAGAUGGCGGCUCAUACACGUUCAGAAGCAUUCUCCAUGGUAGGGAUCUGUUGAGAGAGGGAUUAGUGUGGCGAGUGGGAGACGGCUCCAGGAUCAACAUCCACCAUGAUCAAUGGUUACCAAGGAGCGGCAGCUUAACACCACUGGGUGUUGAGUAUGUCCCCGGAGUCACUAAAUUUGCCACCUAA
rnacentral:rRNA from 1 species